rnacentral:rRNA from 1 species
UACGUAGGGUGCGAGCGUUAAUCGGAAUUACUGGGCGUAAAGCGUGCGCAGGCGGUGAUGUAAGACCGAUGUGAAAUCCCCGGGCUUAACCUGGGAACUGCAUUGGUGACUGCAUCGCUCGAGUAUGGUAGAGGGGGGUAGAAUUCCACGUGUAGCAGUGAAAUGCGUAGAGAUGUGGAGGAAUACCGAUGGCGAAGGCAGCCCCCUGGGUCAAUACUGACGCUCAUGCACGAAAGCGUGGGGAGCAAACAGG